CAAGUCGAACGAAGGCUUCGGCCUUAGUGGCGCACGGGUGCGUAACGCGUGGGAAUCUACCCUUAAGUUCGGAAUAACAGUUGGAAACGACUGCUAAUACCGGAUGAUGACGUAAGUCCAAAGAUUUAUCGCCUAGGGAUGAGCCCGCGUAGGAUUAGCUAGUUGGUGUGGUAAAGGCGCACCAAGGCGACGAUCCUUAGCUGGUCUGAGAGGAUGAUCAGCCACACUGGGACUGAGACACGGCCCAGACUCCUACGGGAGGCAGCAGUGGGGAAUAUUGGACAAUGGGCGAAAGCCUGAUCCAGCAAUGCCGCGUGAGUGAUGAAGGCCUUAGGGUUGUAAAGCUCUUUUACCCGGGAUGAUAAUGACAGUACCGGGAGAAUAAGCUCCGGCUAACUCCGUGCCAGCAGCCGCGGU
rnacentral:rRNA from 1 species